rnacentral:rRNA from 1 species
CACGCCCUAAACGAUGUCAACUGGUUGUCGGGUCUUCAUUGACUUGGUAACGUAGCUAACGCGUGAAGUUGACCGCCUGGGGAGUNACGCGAAAAACCUUACCUACCCUUGACAUGUACGGAAUCCUGCUGAGAGGUGGGAGUGCCCGAAAGGGAGCCGUAACACAGGUGC